rnacentral:rRNA from 1 species
GAAUCCCACAGGCCGUAAACCCAAGGUUUCCAGGGGAAGGUUCGUCCGCCCUGGGUUAGUCGGGACCUAAGCUGAGGCCGAAAGGCGUAGGUGAUGGACAACAGGUUGAUAUUCCUGUACUACCGAUAACCGUUUGAGAGAAGGGAUGACACAGUAGGAUAAGCUAAGCACACUGUUGGUUAUGUGUGCCCAAGCAUUGAGGCAGUCAAAGUAGGCAAAUCCGCUUUGAUAAUGCUGGGAUGUGAUGGGGAGCGAAAUUUAGUAGCGAAGUAGCUGAUUUCACACUGUCAAGAAAAGUCUCUAUCGAGGUUAAAGGUACCCGUACCGCAAACCGACACAGGUGGGUGAGGAGAGUAUCCUAAGGCCAGCGAGAGAACUGUUGUUAAGGAACUCGGCAAAAUGACCCCGUAACUUAGGGAUAAGGGGUGCCACCAUCAGGUGGCCGCAGAGAAUAGGCCCAAGCGACUGUUUACCAAAAACAUAGGUUUCUGCUAAGUCGCAAGACGAUGUAUAGGAGCUGACGCCUGCCCGGUGCUGGAAGGUUAAGGGGAUCUGUUAGAGCAAUCGAAGCAGUGAACUUAAGCCCCAGUAAACGGCGGCCGUAACUAUAACGGUCCUAAGGUAGCGAAAUUCCUUGUCGGGUAAGUUCCGACCCGCACGAAAGGCGUAACGAUUUGGGCACUGUCUCAACAACAGACUCGGUGAAAUUGUAAUUCCGGUGAAGAUGCCGGAUACCUGCGACAGGACGGAAAGACCCCAUGGAGCUUUACUGUAGCUUGACAUUGGGUCUUGGUACUACAUGUACAGGAUAGGUGGGAGGCUUUGAAACCAGGACGCCAGUUUUGGCGGAGCCAUCCUUGGGAUACCACCCUUGUAGUACUGGGACUCUAACCAUAGGCCAUGAAUCUGGUCUUGGGACACUGUCAGGUGGGCAGUUUGACUGGGGCGGUCGCCUCCCAAAAGG